ANGCAGUCGAGCGGGCAUUUUCGGAUGUCAGCGGCAGACGGGUGAGUAACACNNNGGGAACGUACCCUUCGGUUCGGAACAACUCUGGGAAACUGGAGCUAAUACCGGAUACGCCCUUAUGGGGAAAGGUUUACUGCCGAAGGAUCGGCCCGCGUCUGAUUAGCUAGUUGGUGGGGUAACGGCCUACCAAGGCGACGAUCAGUAGCUGGUCUGAGAGGAUGAUCAGCCACACUGGGACUGAGACACGGCCCAGACUCCUACGGGAGGCAGCAGUGGGGAAUAUUGGACAAUGGGCGCAAGCCUGAUCCAGCCAUGCCGCGUGAGUGAUGAAGGCCUUAGGGUUGUAAAGCUCUUUUGUCCGGGACGAUAAUGACGGUACCGGAAGAAUAAGCCCCGGCUAACUUCGUGCCAGCAGCCGCGGUAAUACGAAGGGGGCUAGCGUUGCUCGGAAUCACUGGGCGUAAAGGGCGCGUAGGCGGCCAUUCAAGUCGGGGGUGAAAGCCUGUGGCUCAACCACAGAAUUGCCUUCGAUACUGUUUGGCUUGAGUAUGGUAGAGGUUGGUGGAACUGCGAGUGUAGAGGUGAAAUUCGUAGAUAUUCGCAAGAACACCGGUGGCGAAGGCNNCCAACUGGACCAUUACUGACGCUGANGCGCGAANGCNNGGGGAGCAAACANGAUUNGAUACCCUGGNNGU
rnacentral:rRNA from 1 species